GUUUCUUAUUGAAAUAUUUAUUAAGAAUACAAUUUCAAUAAAUAAAUUAUAAUUUGUUAAAACAAUUGUAAUAUUACUUACUGGAUCAUCCUCAAUUUUCUUUUCAUACGUACUGGUUGCUUUAAAAACUUCAUUGCAAUCGCGUUCAUAACAAUGAAAUAAUCGAGUAUUCCUAUCAUUAAAAUAAAAAUAUUGCCAAGUAAAAGCAAUGUUUAUUCGUUCGCAUUUUGCGAUUUAAACGACAAGUAUUUUUUGCAUCGACUGCGUGCAACGCAGUCAUUAGAGUCAGUGUUUGUUCGCAAAGUAUUUUGUUCUUUUAACAAUCGCACAGAUUGUAUUUAUAAAAGACAGUAAAGUUAGCGAAGUAAAUUCAGUGACAGUUCAUUAAUAAAUAACUAGAAAUAAUCGAGUAUUCCUAUCAUUAAAAUAAAAAUAUUGCCAAGUAAAAGCAAUGUUUAUUCGUUCGCAUUUUGCGAUUUAAACGACAAGUAUUUUUUGCAUCGACUGCGUGCAACGCAGUCAUUAGAGUCAGUGUUUGUUCGCAAAGUAUUUUGUUCUUUUAACAAUCGCACAGAUUGUAUUUAUAAAAGACAGUAAAGUUAGCGAAGUAAAUUCAGUGACAGUUCAUUAAUAAAUAACUAGCGCUAAUUAGAUUCAGUGCAUCACUGAAGAGAAUCUCAUUCAAUUUCAAUAUCGAUCUACUUCAUUUUCAACCACCUACGAAUCAUUCCGCCUCGAAUUUCAAUCUAAAUUAUCGACAAGUGUUUUGGAGCCAUCGCAGAACUUCUUAAGUAUGAUCAUCCAGGGAAUCAUCGGCGAAUCAUUGAGGGAUAAAUUCUAUCUGAGAGUUGAAUGAGGGUCCGAAGUAUUAUCGAAUGGCUCGAUUUAUUAUAAAUUUUUAUACGAGAGGAUACGAGUAGGAUAGAAAGAACGGACAUGAUUCAAAUUCCAAUUUCGAGAUUCAUUUUGUUUGCUCGAAAAUUUGAUUAGAUUAUCUCGCGAACGUAAAUUUUAGAAUAAAGUCAUCGUUAACCUAUGGAUCUGCAGAUGCAUUAAUCUUCACGUGGUGAGAUCUGGAUCAAUAGUAACUUAUGACAUAUUUUAUGUAUAAUAUAGUAGUAUAAAUACUAUCGAAUGAAUGGCUGCAUCUUUCAAUGUAUUUUUAAAAAUCCCUUCAAUUGUAAUUCUGAUUAAAUGACUUAAAGUACUAACACUAUAAAUUGCCAAUAAUACUUC